rnacentral:misc_RNA from 1 species
GACCUGCCGCACUUUCGCGGGCAGGAUAUUUGACAGGAGAAAUCACGAUGGCUUCAGGCACCGUGAAAUGGUUCAACGCAACUAAAGGCUUCGGCUUUAUCGCACCCGACGGCGGCAGCAAGGACGUUUUCGUCCACAUCUCCGCAGUCGAGCGUUCCGGCCUCACCGGCCUGCGCGACGAUCAGAAGGUUACCUUCGACAUCGAAGCUGGCCGCGACGGUCGCGAAUCUGCGAUCAAUCUCGCUCUGGCAUAAGCCCAGACACCCGAGAUCGACAUUGGAAAGGCGCCUUCGGGCGCCUUUCUUGCG